UUGUUUCAAUCCAGACUCCUGCUUCUAACAACCAAUAUAAAUCAAUGCAUUUGUGUGACAUUGGCAAAUUUAAAGCAAAAUGAGAAGAUUCUGGACUCCUUUCAACUGUUUCACCAACCAUAUAAAAGCAAGGAAUCCAUAAAUUGCUUCUUCAGGACAGUGGUCACGCCGCUGCUGCCUUCUUUGGCUGCAGCAGCUCGGGCACCUCUUCGAGACGCCUUAUUGCGCUGCCCCGGCAACCGUCACCAGGGAAACCAGCCACGCCGCUGCGUGACGUCCUCACGAGUCUACGGCAACCAAGAGGGCGCCGGGAGUUCGGAAAGGGACAGAGGCGCAGAUGGUCCGGGUUGAGGCGAUACUCUUUCUGGGCUAAGUCCUCCCAUUUUUCGGUUUCUUGCCUUAACUGACCUUCUCUGGAAAGUCUUCUCUGACUCUCCAAGUUUAUGCAGCUGACCCAGAUCUCUGUCGGAAAGUUGAACAGGUACAAAAAGAGGCACCUAUAACCAGAUACUCAAAGCCAGUUUGGAAAACACGAAGUAGUCUGUAAACUUGGUAAGAUACUACUGAAGACCUUUCCAAAUGCAUGGGAACCUAGAAGAGGCAUAAGGGAACUGGAGCUGCCCAGCAUCACGUAAUGUAAAAGAUUUAAGGAUCUUCACAGCCCGUCAUUUUGGUCACUGGAACUACUAUCUAACAACAAUGGUUUCAAAUUUUGAUUUUUGCAUCCGUUACCUGUCAACCUAUUUAAAA